rnacentral:rRNA from 1 species
UACGUAGGGUGCGAGCGUUGCCCGGAUUUAUUGGGCGUAAAGGGCGCGUAGGCGGCUUGGCAAGUGGAUGGUGAAAUCCCUCGGCUUAACCGAGGAACUGCCGUCCAAACUGCUUUGCUUGAGACCGGGAGAGGUGAGUGGAAUUCCCAGUGUAGCGGUGAAAUGCGUAGAUAUUGGGAGGAACACCAGUGGCGAAGGCGGCUCACUGGACCGGUUCUGACGCUGAUGCGCGAAAGCGUGGGGAGCAAACGGG